CCUGCGGCGGCUAGGGUUCUGCUGCGAACCCGAUAAUGGUGGUGAUCAGAGGUUGUCGGGUAUGCGCGAUGCUCUUCUCCUAUUUCUUUGAUUUUUUGGUUUGGUUUGUUGCGAAUGUUGGCUUUUCGCCUCAGUCAAUAGAGCAUCAGGCGGCUUAUGGGCCACAACCUUGGCGGUGCAAGCGUUCAGCAACUGCACCAACUAGAGAAACAACUAACUGAUGGCUUAGUUUUAAUCAAAGAAAAUAAGGUUUUGAUCUAUCUUUAAAUUAAUGGGAAUUUAAUAAAUUUUUAGUUUGUGAAUCUUGUGUUCAUGAUGCUAUGCUGUUUGAGGAGAUUGAACAUUCAAAUCGCAAAGGAACGAGAACUUGCUUAUGAAACGAUGUUCUUCAAGGAGAGAUGGAAAACUUAAAGUGCUUCAUACAGUUGACUCGACAACCUGGUCAACUUGGUUUCCUAGAAUACACUCAUGUUGUUGUUCCAAUAGCAGUGCUGCCCACUCGAAGCAUGAC